UACGUAGGGGGCGAGCGUUGUCCGGAAUCAUUGGGCGUAAAGAGCGUGUAGGCGGGCCGGAAGGUCUGGUGUGAAAGCCCGGGGGCUCAACCCCGGAGGGUCACCGGAAACCGACGGUCUUGAGUCCGGAAGAGGAGAGUGGAAUUCCUGGUGUAGCGGUGGAAUGCGCAGAUAUCAGGAGGAACACCAAUGGCGAAGGCAGCUCUCUGGUACGUGACUGACGCUGAGACGCGAAAGCGUGGGGAGCGAACAGG
rnacentral:rRNA from 1 species